CAUCGUUCUUGUGCAUCCUGUGUGCGUACUGGUUGAGAGAAGGGAGAGAAGUGGGGGUGAAUCGAGCUGCGAGGCGAAAACCUAGCGCCAGCAAUCCCGUGCGUCUUCGAGGAGCCAAUCCAGCCCCGCUUCCCUCCCUCUCCACGGCGCUGCCGGCUCCUCCCCUUUUGCCCUACUCUCCACUGCGCCGCCUCUUCCUCCUCUUCACUAUCCUCUCCAGCGGCGGCAAAGAUCUGCCGACAAAGGGAGAUGACAGCGGCGCUCAAUCGGAUCUGCUGAAGAGAAAGAUGAGAGGGAGAGAGACAAGGAAGGAGAGGAGGGAGAAAGAGAGAGCUAAGCAGAGAGGGAGGUGUGAUGGCGGAUGAGAGAAGGUCACCGGAAGGAGCGCGAUGACCUGCAGACAAAGGGCGGCAGCGGCGCCGCUCGAUUUGAUCUGCGGGAGAGAGAAGAUGAGAGGGAGGAAGAGAAGGAAGAACAUGAGAGGAGGGAGAAAGAGAGAGGAAAGAGGAGAGGGGGUCGACGGCCAACGGGAGAGGAUCACUGCAAGUGCUGCCGGCUCGUCGUCUUUCACACCGCACUAUAGCAGAGCUACCUUUGUACAACCCACACGCAUGCAGUUGCCGGCUGCAGGGGUGUUGCGAGGAGUUAGAGGUCGUGCACCGGCCGGAGCAGCAAGAGCAAUGAUCUGGCGGCCUCUCUUCUCUGCCACUGCUCCCUUCUCUUCCUUCAGCUCUCGAGACGUCAACCUGCAGGUGUAGGCUAGAGUUUGUCUGUGGGUUGUUUAUGCCCGGCUUUAAUAUCGGCCCACACUAUUUAUAAGGAACUGCUGAUGUCCAGUUCAGAGGUAUGUUUUCUAGCUGAAGCAUUGUUUGAAUAUCUAUGGCCCAUGCUCCAAGUGAGAUUAAUUCUUUCAUUUAUUUUCUACUAAUGUGAGUGAUUUAGUUCUCACGUACUGAUAAAUGUGCAUGGCAUACUAUUUUUAGGCAAACCAUUGUUUAACAAUGGAUAUGCGGAGGGUUUUUUAUGCAUGUGCAUUUCCCCUGAAUCUAGACAGCUAUUCAACCUAUUGCGGACAUUUUUGGUGGAAUUCAAUGCUUCGUCAUGUAUUUUUGACCUCUAUAUUCCCUAUCAUGUGUAUUUAACAAGUGAAUGUUCAGUGAUUCUCGAUUUUGCCUUUUUAAUCUAUGAAUGCAAUCCUUAAUGUGAUGGAAAUGUAUUGUACAUUUUUUGUCGAGCAAAUAUUGAUUCAUGCCAUGCAUGUUAUCGGUGGGUUUAAAAAAAGUUUUCCUGAUUGUAGUGUGAUUGCUUUAUCAAAGUUGGUUUAGUUACCCAACCUUCUAUUUUCAUUGAUUUUGUAUGAUUCUUGAAAACGGAGUGUGGGUUGUGUUUAUCAAUAAUAUACUACAGAUGUCAGUUCUGUUGCCAAAUGAUCUAAACUUGAUUUACCCACUUAUAGAACAGAAAAGAGUAUGGUAUUUACCUUCCGUGGAUUUACUUGAAUGACUGUACAAGUAUCUCGGCUUGGUUUAUUUCCCAUCUCCAAUUUGAUUAAUAAUUACUAAGAUAUUUUUUCUUACUCCUUAUUUACUGACAUGUUUGAUUUGUAGUCUCCUCGUAUAUAAUCAAGUAGUGGUAGCUAAACAAACGUAUAUCUUGCCAUGCAUUGGUGAAAGUAUUAAAGCUUGUCUCUGGUUUACUUUCCAUGUGCUAUCCAUACCCAUGUUUUAUGUAGUUAAUUAAUAAACUCUCUCUAAAUAUGAUGAUCACAUGAGAUCAGACAGGUUCAUGGGGUGAUCGUGUAGCCGAGUUGAAAGUCAGAGGGUUUGUGCUAUGGGUCAUAGGAAUGGUCAUAACCUUAUUUGUUGGAAUAUUGCCUAAGAUGAUCAAAGCUAAUUAUUUUAGUCACUUGAUCUGUUAUAUUGCCAUAAACUGAAUUGGUACUAGGCGAACAUGAGGAUCUUUUAGCAGGUAGCCAUGUAAAAAACAAGAUAUAUGUCUAACAUAUAAUUUGAGAUGAAGUUGUCCUGCUCAAUUAAUUUAUAGUUUUCUGGAUGUUCUGGUUUUCAGUUUGGGAGCAAGUAGAAAUACCUGAUUUGAUGCUUAUUCUUUAGAAUUUUUCACAUUUCGCGAGAGCUAGGCAUACUUCUCGGUGACCUUGUCAUCUCCAACCCAUCUGUGGGUAUUUCAACUCCCCUUCUGUUUUUCAUUUUUCUGUGUACAUUUGCUCUACUCUCACUUUUAAUAUCGCUGGUAUUCUAUCAUUUUCUUAAUGCUUUAGUUUUGCUUGUUCUAUCUCCUCCCAUGUGCUAUUUAGAGUUCUUUUCUCUGUUUUUAAUUGCGGUUUUACAUCCUAUUCUAUUUGAGCUUUUUGGCUACGACAUAAUGAAUGGAUUAUUUCUUUAUUUGGCCUUUAUUAUAUUGUUUCCCAUCUACAAUAUGAAUCACUUUGCUAGCUAUAAAAAAACAUUAUGGGUUACUGCCUAGUGGACCUCUGAAUAUUUUUUCACCUCAGCUUGAUUGACAUGCUCACCGGCAGGAAAUGUAGUAUGAGAUGAUUUUCUUAAAUUUCUCUAGCUUUUCUUAUUGGUAUGUGCAUAAAGGACAAAGUCUUGUAUACUUAAUAUCAAGCCUUAUUAAUCUGCAUUUUUGGAAUACCAUUAAAAAUCUUGAAUUAGUUUUGCUUUGAUGGGUAAUCUAUCACUAAACAGAAUAUACCUUCCAGCCUUCACACAUAGAGACUAAUUUAGUACUUGGGUUGGGCUGCCCUAUUUUUCUGUGUGGUCGAAUAGGAAAGCUAAAUGUACAAUUUAUUUGCUCUACACCAUUUAUUGUGCCACAUUGAAGUACAUCUUUUUAUUAUUUCUUUCUAAUGCAAUCAUCAAUACCAUACAUUCAUUAAUCUUCCCAUUUUUUGUUCUCUUUUUGGUCAUACAUUUGGAUUAUUAUGGAUUUUCUGAAGGUGGUGGUGGGGGUUGCACGACAUGUUCUAUCUGGUUUCAGGAGUGUGUGCUGCUCCUGAAUUUUUUUCUCAGGCUUCGGAAGAUGCCAGUAUAACAGUUGACAAGGGAACUAAUGCUUGCACUGUCAUUAAAAUUGCUAGAGCUGCUGCGCAAAAAGUUAGGAAGGUACUUAAAGAGAAGGAAGACAAUUCACAAAGAAUUGGGAAACAGUUUUGUCAGCAAACACAUCGAGGCAUCUGAACAAAUUGUCACAACUACAUGAAGACAGGGACCUGCAAAUUUGGAUCCACAGGGGCGCAACGGGUCAUAAUCUGUCGCAGAUAAGAUAUGUUGCAGAUCACCUUAACGAUGCAACUUGACAAUUAGAGCACAUUCUACAGGAAACAAGCAGGUAUUAUAUGGGGUCAUUUAUGCUUUUGGUAGCCCACUAGACACACCCACCAUGAAGAGCUUCUUUGACAAUAAAGUCGUUUUUUAUACCGAUGGCGCAGUGAGACUCUACCUGAUAUUCUUCACUACUCACCACGAGCUAAAUGAUCGAAGCUAUCAAUAUAUAUAAUGCAUUUCUACGUAUGUAGCAUGCUUGAUACAUGCAAUGUAAAUAAGCUAUCGUAAACUAAUCGCAUGUCUUUCUUAUAACGCUGUGUAUCAACUUCAUACAUAAAUAUCUAUUUCCAUAUUGUAACAUCCCGAUUCUCGGAAUGUUUAAGUAAAAGUUUUCCAAAAAUCAGGGUGAGAAAAUUUCACUUGUUUAAUUUGUUAACAAAGCUUAAAUUGGACUUCUAUAAUUUGAAGGAUUUAAUUUGAACUAACGUGAACCUAAAUUAAAAUUUGAGUUUAGUUCUUUUCUUUUAGUCGGGCUUUAUUUUCUCUUCUUUGGCAUAUUUAAAUAUGUGCCUUGAAUUUUCUUUGGGUUACUGAAAUUCGUUUGAUUGCUCGAGCUUAUUUUCCUUCUCUAGAUUUCCUAAAACGGAAAUCAAUUUCUUUUCCUUUUCUCAAUCUCGGGCCAAAUUCCAUUGGACCAUUAGAUACAUUCUACCAUUUGAAUUGUCCACCUAUCUUACUCAUACUUUCCAUCCAUGCAUACAUUGUUUCUGAGACAAAUCCACCAAUACAUGCAUCUGUACAUCUCUCUUCUCUUCCCUGGAUUCAUCCAAUUGUUUUUGUUUUCUUUCUCAAGUCACAUGGGCUUAGCCCAUCUAUUUUUUUUCCUCCCCUCCUCUCCACAUGGGCUUCCAUCCACUUGGCCCAUCCAAUGAAUGCCUCUCCUUACGUUCACAAUUCCAGAAGGGGAACAACCAACACACACAUACCAGAAGAGAAAACGCACACAGAAUAGGAAGCGUACAGGCAUGAUGGAGACUCCUCUUUCUGUUUAAUUGCUACCUUUACAAAUAUGAAGAUACUUGCCCAUCUUUCAACGUCAACCCCAAGCGCUUCUCCUUCCUCCACCCUCGCGUAAGCGCACACAGUACAGAGAAGAAGAAACGUUCAGCCACUCUCAUGCCCUCCCCUCAACUCCCAUAAAUCUCAAUCAUUUUCAGUUUUGAAGAUACCUAGACGUCCACCACGAUCUCCUUUGUCAUUCCCAACAGUCCUCAUGCCCUCUCUCUUCCUCCUCUGCCAAAGAACCCUCACCACACUUUUGAAGCUCCAUGGACGCAAGGUUUCGAUCCCGGUGACUCAUACCAUCUCCAUCCAUGCCCUUGCGCCAGAAGGUUCCCCUGCACAUUAUGGUUCCAUUCAGGAAAGAAGGAACAUGUCCCGUCGAUCACACCCGAAGAAUUUAGCAUGUUCGUCUACACUGUUCAUCGAGUUCGUCGGAUCGAUUCGUCGCGCUCGGGAGUGACGACGGUGUUGGACAUGGACAGAAACAGGUUACCGAAGGACUCAACAAUGAAGGCAUGCCUCCUUCUUUGAUCAUAUUUAUCCUAUGUUUACAAAAUUGCAUUGUGUUUUAUGGUUACUAUAUGCAUGCUAUUUUUUAAUUCUUGUAGCUAGCGUGUCGAUUGACACAUUACCUUGAUCCGCUUGUCGCCUAUUCAUUUGACACCUGAGUAGAAUUAUAGUAUUCCGGUAGAGUAGAAAUGCUUAGCCAUGCUUAUCCUAUAGGUUCUUUGUUGAAUGACCUCUAAGUCAUUGACAGUUGAAACGUAUUGCUGAGCUAGGCCAGUUGGCCCUUGUUGAUCUCCUCUACUCUCUUCUACUCUGGGUGAAACUUACCAUUUAAAUAUUGGUGCGGGCGACAGCUGAAUCAAGGAUUGAAGGAGCGAUUGGCUACCCUUCACGAUUUGAAGGGGGCAAUCAGACGUUCGUGCCGCAUGAGGCCUAAUAAGUCUUGGAUUUGAAGAUUGUGAUAAUAGUACAACCACAUGCUAUAUGGGCACUGGCUUGGUUAAUUAGUUAGUUCACUCUUAUUGUCGUCAUCACCGUACCGCAGAUGGGAUAGCUGCCUUGCGAGGAGUAUCCUCGGCACAAAAGGGGGGCCCGGACUGUGAACUGCGGUUACUUCCAUGUUGAAACCUAGUGGGCUUGGCACAGUAAGUUUGGUCUAAUGAAAGAUCUCGUCACAAUCUCUCUGCCGGUAUACCAAAUGGUGUACUAUGCUAGUGACGGCUAAUGGCAACAAGUCGGGAUUGUGUCGUGUGGGUAAAGUGUACAACCUCUGCAGAGUGUAAAACUAUUCGAAUAGCCGUGUCUACGGUCAUGGGCAACACAUGAAUCUUUCUUGACGUACGGGACCUGUCUUACUUAUUCCCUCUUUGCCCCUAUUCUUGAAACCUAUGAAGGACAUGAGUUGAUCGAGGAUCCUCACUUGAUGAAAGUUAUUCUGGAGAUAAAACAUGUUUUUCUUCUAAAACUUCUUUUAUCCAACUCAUUUAUUUGUCAAACAAAAUUAGCUUUACGCAAAUGAGCCAUAUAGCCUUCCUUUGAAGCCACAUGUAGCUAUUAGGUCCUUCCCCGUGGGGGGCAUGUUGAGUACGAAAUGUACUCAUGGCAAUACUUUUGUUGA